CGGAGCUCCCUCCCUCCUGGUGAGGACCUUCCCCGGAGCCCGCAGUUCGCGUCUCGCCGCCAGCCCCGCUGCACCACGGAAGGAGUCCCUCGCCUCGGCCACCCAGCCGAGUGCCUGAGCCACCACCUUCGGGCUCCACGCGUCCCGCUUUGCACAAUGGCCCAGCCCGGUCCCGCGCACUGAGAGCCGGGCCCUGGAGCGCUGCGGGGCGCUGUGCUGAGCGGCACGGCCCGAGCCCCUGGCGGUCCCCAAAGAGCUGCGGGGCGGGGGCAAGGAGGAGGAGGGGACCCGCGGCCAGAGGCUGGCCGCUCGCUUUCUUCAAGCGGACUUUUUGCCAAUGGUCCAAAGCGACAUGUCCAAGUCGCCUCCCACAGCGGCGGCGGCGGUGGCGCAGGAGAUCCAGAUGGAACUGCUGGACAACGCGGCUACCGCGGGGGCGCUUGGAGCACAGGUAGCGAGAGCGCGGCGCCUUCUUCCUUUGUGAGCCGCCCGGGCGCCGACCUCCGUUUCUCUCCGCGCCUCCGCUACAGCGAUCGCCCUGGUCUCUUGGCCACCUCCUCUUCCCCUCGCCAUUUGCCACCCACUUCUCUUUGCGCCUUUCCCUGGCUCUUCGGCUUCCAUUUUUCUCUGCUUGUGAAUAGCAAGUGGGAAGGGGCGGGGGAGACCUGCCGGUCCUCCCCGGCUUCUCCCGGGCCGCUCUGCUCGGCUCUCCUCGCCCCUUCCCGGGAGAGGCACAUGGAGAGACAUGAACCAGGCGAGUGGACUGGACCUGCUCAAGAUCGUGAGUCCGAGUGGGCGGAAGGGGUCCCAGCUUCCCGCAGCGCUUUCUCCGAUGCUGACCCUUUGGUCCAGCUCGGAGCGGGGGUGGAACUGGAGGUGUGUGUGAUGGGGGAGGAUGUGGGUGGGGGACCUUGCUGGGCGCCCUGGGAGCAGCGCCGACCACCCUCAGCACCUGGGGUGUUCCCUCGCCCCGACCACUCAGUUAUCCCCAGUGGCAGUUGCCAAAGCUUGCCGAGACCCCUUGUUCCUUUCCCUUAAGGACAGAGUUAGGGAAAAGAAAGUUUUCAUUUUGCGAUUUCCCUUGUAAUGUUAGCUCUAGCUCUUUCAGGGAGCUCCCGGAUCCCCUUCCUCUCUGCUGAGUAUUUUCGGUUUCUGGAAAAAUUCUGCUUCUCUGCUCAUUGUGAAAUAAGAGAUGUCAAUUGUAGGCGUUGGGCAAUGAUAAGGUGGCUUUUACGUAAGGCUUUGGCAGGUACAGUUUGGAUUACUGACACCUCCAGAUCUCAACGGUAAAGAGUCUCUCAACUUUUAUCCUAGCAGGGAAAUGACUUACUCCUAGCUGUGGGCUGGUUGGCCAGUGCUAUUGAAGAGAUUAGGGGUACUUUGCAAGCAUCUUUCUGGAGAAAUGUCUGUUUAAUGACACUGGCUUGUUGGUGUCAAUCCUAUAUUAGCCAGAUUGUAAAUUGUAGUAAGAUACAUGGGUGUGGGUAUGAGAGCGUGUGUGUAUACACACAUAAAAUACAUGAGAGAUCAUGUAAGGGGGUCACUGUGGUAGUGAGGUGGGAGUGAGCCAUUCUAAUAAAGGUUGCACAUGUUUCUCUGCUGUUGUUAUUUUGAUGGGUGGAAAUUGGCUGCUGGAGGUAUUUUGAUACUGUAAUAAUAAUUCCAAAUGGCAUAAUAGUCCAGCUUUAUUGAAUUUUCUUUGACUACUGGGAAAUAAAUGUACUAACUUAGAACACAUAAUUUACUUUGAGCUGGGGGAAGAAUGUAGAAACUAAAGACUUGUAUAAUAAAAGAUACAUUUCUUUUGUAGUAGUAAAAUAGCAAGAUUUUAGUUCACCCUGGGCUGCUUAACUUCACCAGCAAUGUGGGGAUGUGUAACUAGCUGUGUUCUUUUCUAAUCUCUGCCAGAAGAUCUGAUUCUAACUCCUACACUUCCCAUUUGUUUUAGACUCCUGAUUUGAUCUAGAUGCUUGCCAGGUUAGAUGAGAAUGAAAAAUGUACUCAGAGACCUUGGUUAUUCUAGGAUGAAGGUCUUGAAUAUUGAUAGAGGAAGGGACUUUAAAAGUCUCUUUUCUCUUUGAUCUUCCUUGAGGGAUUUUUUUUUUUUUUUAAGAAAAGUCUUCAUAUGAUUAAAAACAGUUCCUAAAUUAUUGGAGAUCAAAGUCAGGUCUGACACAAAGCAUAACUGCAUUCAGAUAAGAGGUAAUUUGCUUAGUGGUUUAUAUAAUUAAACAUUAGUCAACAAAUAUUUAUUGUACAGCUGCAAUGUGGAAAUGAUUCAUGAUUUCUGCCAUCAAAAACUUAAAUUUCCAGUAGCUGGAAGUAUGACAAAUGUAUAGCAAGUAUAUGUCAGGGGCCCGUUAGAGAAUAUUAUGAGGUUUAAAAGGUAUAAAAGUCACUAGUAUUUUAUAUUGAAUAAUCCAUAAGGACCUCAUAGAAGAGGAGGCAUUUAAAAAGAAAUUUGAAGGGUGGGUGAGAUUUCAACACAUUUGGAGAUAGUAGGGAGCCAUAUGUGAAGCAAUCACACAAGUUAGAAGUCACCUUCAUAGCAUACUUUUAUAAUCCCUAGUUUGAAAAGAGUGUGGAAGGGUACAGAUUGAGUAUGGUUAAGCCUCAGACUAAGAAGACAAUUGGAGGCUAUAAUUUGGAGGCCAGAACAUUUAGUGUAUUGAAUAAUAGAGAUCUGUAGAAGGGGUUCAGAAAGGCAGCCAUUUAACAGAUCAUUGAAAAGAUCCACCUGGGAAUGUUAGGAUAGUUUGGAGCACAGAAAGGCAGCUGCCAGGAAAAAAAAAAAAUGAUGUAACAGUUUGGGCAAGAGGUAAUGCAGCCUAAACUAAAGAGAAAAAAAAAAAAAAGAUUACAAAUGUUGUCAGGUCUUCACACUAGACAUUUCAAAGAUACAUCCACAGGAGAAAGGAAUGGAUUUCGUAUCGCAGGUGAGGUAUAAAUCCUGAAUGUCAAUAGCAUCUCUCUUUGCUUUCUUUGCCUUCCAAAAAAUGAAAUCAAUUUUUGCUUGAAUUGUGUUCACGUGACAUCCAUUAUUAGAGGGUAACAUUGCCCUGUUUAUUUUAUAUCUGAUUAAUCAUGGCAUCAUAGGGCUUGUGUGAAACUUGGCAAAGCUAUUCAUUCUGUGCCUCUAGUGGGCACAACAGACCAGCUGUCAAACCACCUGAGAAAGGACACUAUCUUCAGAGCAUCCCCCUUUUCUUGUGGCACUGAGUAAUAGUAAUUCCACCCAGAAAUAGAACUACCAUUUGCAAACAGAACCUGUAAGCAUUGGUUUUCAGAAACUUUUCCCCUUCACCUCAGGAUUAUAUUACAAGUUUCAUAUGAACAAAGUAAAUGAUGUAGAUUCAUAAUCUUUGCAGUUAUUUGUUUAUUUUUUUGUAUCAAUAAUACUGCUUAGUGGGACAAACACCUUCUUAUGUUCCAAGCCCUUCCCCCAGCAUGCUGUCAUAAGCAAAAUGGAUGCAUUUAACAAAAAUGGAAUGGCCAUCUAACUGCAAGCUCUUGAAGGUUUUGAUUUAAGCCAAUUGCUCUGCUUUUUCAGUAACCUGUUGAACAGUUCUGGUGCAAACUUGAGUGGUCUCUAUCUUCAAAGUCAAGGUGCUCACGUAGGACUCUCCAAGCUCCAAGUCCACAUCACCUAUUAUAGUACCUGUUGGCUACGUGUGGCUUUUUGAGCACUUGAAAUAUAAUCUGAAUUGAGAGAUGAAAUAUGCACAUCCAAAGACAAUAUGAAAUAAAUAGAACAUACCUUCAUCAAUAACAUAAAUUGGUUACAUGUUGAAACAAUGAAUUUUGAGUAUGUUGGGUUAAAUAAUGUGCAUCAUCAUAAUUAAGUUACCCAGUUGUUGUUUGCAUUUUUAAUGCAGCUACUAGAAAAUGUUGAAUAGGUAGGUGGCUCAUAUUAUCAUUGCCAUUGGACAGUGUUACUCUAAAGUAUGGAACUGGUCAUUCUCUAGGGAGUGGAAUAGCUCCUGGGUGGAUGAGAAGCAAGUGACUGGGAUUGGAAAUUGUCUGGUGACAGAAGAGGAAAUGGAUGAGAACCAAGAGCAGUAGCUCAGUAAUGUAGGCCUCAGAGAUUGUAACCAGCAACUCCAGUCACACCUGAAAAUGAACAGGCAGUAAGCAGAGGGCCUGUUUGUUUUGCUCCUAGCAACACAUCCCAGCUGGUUCCACCCAGGCCCAGUUUGCCAGAUGCUUUGCAAGCAGAUUGGAGGACUAAGGCCUGGUAAUGACUACAUUCCGAUCGGCUGUAGUGAGGGGCUUUAUCAAAAAAAGAGCAGCAGCCUUUUCCCUGUGGCUUUGAAACCAAGUCAGCACUCUCUUCCAGAAACAUUCGUAGGUCCCUGUUACAAAUUUGUCUUCUGCUUUCUUCAAACGUAGUGGUCAUGGGUCCUGUGAUUUAUGUUUUGCUAAAACCUUCAUUCCUAACCACUGGUCAUUUUCAUUCUGAGUGGUAUUUUUGUUCUGGAGUUGCAUGGGAGAAAUUUAAAAACAUGCCAAUCAAUUUCUGUGGGUGUUUAAAUUUGAAAUGUAGUAUCCGGUUGAUUUGAGGAGUAGUUGUUCUGGUAGUUCUAUGCUUUUGUUAUUAUAUAAAAACUUAGUGUACCCUUACAAUUCCAACAAGUUAAAUAUGCAAUCAGUGGGUAACUUUGGUCCUCUCAAGAAAAGGUUAGUGGAAUCUGUUAACCCUGUAAGGGAGGGUGGAACUCUUCAAUUUGUCACUGGAAGACAUGUCUGUAUCUUACAGAGAGUAUAUGGCAAACACCACAUAAUUACUUUAAAACUACGAAGGGUUAAAAUUAAGGUACUACUAAAAAGAGCAGUGCAUGGCAGGAGGUAGACUGAUAAUGAGGGUCCCUGGCCACCUCCUGUCCUCCUCCCUAGGUAAACUUGCAGACCUAAUCCUUCCUCCCUCCUCCAUGUGCCUUACCCACAAAGACCUGUGCUAAUGUUGCUUCCUGAUUUCUUUCUGAUUUUGUGUGAACAGACCCAUACAAAAGCCAACUUCUUAUCUUUCCCCCUUUCUAGGGAAGUCACCUCAGCUAUUUCCCUCCUAGUAAAGGACUGGCAGCCUUGCUCACUUUAAGCUUUUGGUAAAUGAGAUUUACCAAAAUGAGAUGACUCUGGGUAGUUUUGGUUUUGUUUGCUUUGAUCCAUAAAAUGAGGAAAAUGAAAUUCAAAGGGAUAAACAUCAAUGAAUAUGAAUGGAGAGGAAUAAAAACUAACUUUAGGCAUCAGCACUCUGCUCAUGGGGAGCAACUUGUUGUAGGCAGGAAAAUGUCACUGUAUGUAGCCAUGGAACACAGAACCAGCAUCAAUCUUAUACCUGUCCCCCUGGGGCUGCCAUGGCAACUUUAUGUGCCCUGCUGAAAUCUGCAGUUAACUGAAAACGUAAAAUUACUACUGUCUCCUUUGAUUAUUCAGAAAUUAGAUUUUAAUUACCUCUGAAAACAUGAACAUUCAUUUGCUGAAUAAAAUCCAUUCCUCUGUUUCUCCUCACUCUCCUGUAUCUAGUAGAGUCCAUGUUUAAAUGCUGUUCGGUGUCAAGAUGUUCAUACUAAGCUGCUAUUGACAUGAUGGAUUUUGAACAUAAUAUAUUUGUGGAAGUUUCAGGAAAUUUUUUUGUUUCUGAAAUCUUGGUUUGGCAUUUUAGGACAACUAAAGGAUUUUAGACAUUUUUCCCCCUUUUUACUAUAGUGACAAAAUUUGUUUUAUUAAGAUCCAUACAGUUAAUUGGCAAUGAGUAGGAAAUGGUCACCUUCUGGGUUGUUCCGAGAAGGACCUGGGGAUCUGCACAUGCCAGGGAGAAUCUAUAGGUAACACCAUCCUGUGGCCAAACUCCUGUCUUUUCUCCCUCUUUGGUCUGGUACCCAGAGCUAUUCUAAUGGAUGACUGUUUUAGUACUGGGUAUUCAUAACUAUUGCUAAUUAUUUUUAAAGAAAAACCAUUGUUCAUACAGGUAACUGUAUUUGAAGGGGAAAAUUAAGAAAACUAUGCUUCUUUCUUAAAUAUAGCCAACUAAAUAUUUGAACACUUAAUCUUACCUGUCUCUUUCCAUUUUGGGGAGGUUUCUCUUUUACCUUUUUUCUAUAUUCUUCAGAAGAAAUACUCUAGUCCUUCCUUUCAAAGAUUCAGAGUAAUGGGAAAAUGUUAUUUCAGCAAGAUGAACUUGAUUUUUAAAUAUGCAUCGGAUGAAAGGAAGUCUAAUUUUGUAAUGGCAGUAUAAAUUUUCAAUAACAUUUUUAAAGUACAUAAAAAUAGACCAUUAGCUUUCCAGAGAUGCUUUGUUUAUUUAUCCUGAUUUUCUAAAAAAUAAAAAAGUCAGUGAGUAGUUACUGUACAAUUAAAAAAGAAGGAACAUUUUAAUAGAGAAAUUAUGCUGAAUUGAGUAAAACGGAAUUGAGUUGACUUUUAAUAUAUAAUGAAUAGGAAUUUUCUAUAACACUAUUAUGAGCAAGUUAAUAGUAUAAGUCAUAUUCAAGCAUUCAAAGUGACUCAAGGACAAUAUAUUUUCAAAAUUGUCACCAGUUUGUGCUUCAGUGUGUUCUCAUUUUCUAGUAGGCAAACUGUGUUUAGGACAGUUAAACUAUUAAUUCCAUCUUUAUAUUGCAUAAGUAGCUAAGUGCACCUGAAAUAUUGUUUGCUAACAGUAUCCCCAGCGGUCUGGAAAAAUUAAUGUGAAAAUGUGCCCAACUGCUUGCACAGAACAGCCACCUCUGGGACUGAAUGUCUUCAGCAUUGUGUGGCUCUCACAGUGCAUAUUGUGUAAUUAUGAGCAGCCAUGAAAAAGCUGGAGACACCCAAGCAGCUGAACAGUAAAAUAGUUAUGGUUAAAAAGCUGAAAUAACAAAACAGCAAAGACUCUUCUCCUAUUUCAAAAUGGUCCCAGAAGGAAAAAGGAUACAAAGUGGUAUUUUCUUUGCUCUCAAAAAUAAUUGCUCUUCCUCAUGAAGACAGUAUAUUUCACAUAGAUUGUCCCCAACCCUCCCAUAAGAAACAUGUUAGGCAUUAACAAUGCUUUCAAGAUAAUAGGCAUUUUUAUAUCUGGAAUAAUGUAAAUUUUAAAAAAUAAUUUUAAGGAGAUUCAUACCUGAUUUUUGCCUUCUUAGGCCUUGUCAGAUACUUCUGUCUAACCCUUUACAUAAUAAUUGGAAAAGGAAGAGCAUAGUUAAAAGAAUGUUAUUUUUCAACAGUUUACUGAGUAAUGUUUAUGUAAGAAAGAAGAAUAAGCUGUGAAGUGAGAAGAGCCUUGUAUAUUACAUUAUGAAAGCCCAGCCUAGCUUGUCUUUCCUUUUAUGAAGUUCAGAGUUAAUUAAAUGUCAUGGAAACACAUUUGUAUUACAUAAAUCCCUUAGAUCCUUAGAAGAGAACAAACAUAUUUAAGAAAAACUUUUGCUUUAAUAUUACACGACCCUCUCACUGAUUGCAAAUUUACCUAAAUUUCUCAUAACAAAAUGUUUAGAUUUAAGCUUGCUUAAGUUGCUAUGUAUAUUUUGGGUUAUAUUUUUGUUUUUUAUUUUUGGGGGUAUCAGGAAUUGAAGUCAAGGGUAUUCAACCACUGAGCCACAUCCCCAGCCCUAUUUUGUAUUUUAUUUAGAGACAGGGUCUCACUGAGUUGCUUAGCAGUUUGCUGUUGCUGAGGCUGGCUUUGAACUCAGGAUCCUCCUGCUUCAACCUCCAGUGCCUCAGGGAUUAUAGGCGUGUACUACUGCACCUGGCUAUAUUUUUACUUUAAUGAAAACCUUAUUACUUUAUAACUAGAACAUGAGUGUGUAUUGGGAUAAUUCAGUGAUGCUAUGAGUCUAAUAAUUGCCAUUAUAUUAUAUUCUUUAGCCCAAUCUGUCCCCUUACUUUCCAGCCUUCAUGUGGGAUUGCUUUUCAUAUAUUAUUCUGAACCUUCACCAUGUACUAGAUGUUGUUCUAAAUGUUAUAAAUACAUUAUUUUAGUUAUUACUUAAAACAGCCCCAUUUUAAAGAUGAGAAAAAUGAUGCUUGCAAAGGUUAAAUUUGCUCAAGGUCUUCUAUAGGCAGGAUUUUCAUGUAUGUAUUUUUAACUCUAAAGCUCGGCAUUGGACAAUUUUUCAUUUGUUUUAAUAUUUAAUAUUUGCAAUAAAUUUAUGCUUGGAAUUACACAUAGAUUGACAUAGUGUAUUUUCAGAGCUCAAAUGUAAACUGUAGAUAUAAUAGAAAAAGCAAGUUCAUUUGUAGAUGUCUGUGUUCAGCUGGAUCCUAUUGUUGAAACAAAUCAUCUUUAAUGUCUUAAAUGCUUAUUUUUAAAUGCUUUAUCUUUAGCAUCUUUUGCUACUCAGAUGCUAAGGUAUUUGCAGAUAGUGUAAAUUGUUUCUGUUCAUUAAUUAUUAAAUGUUUUGUCUAGAAAUUAUUAAAUGUUUUCCCCCAUAUACUUAUCAGAAAUUUUUGUGAUUUCACCAAUACUAAUCUUCCAUUUGCACAUUUAAUGGCAGUUUCUUACUUGUUUUGGCCUUUGAUAUUUUCUAGAACUAGGCCUAGAUUCCUGUAAAAGGGCUUAAUAAUAACCUCAUUUUUUUUUUUUUUUUUGGUAGUCAUAUGGAAAAGGAGCCAGAAGGAAAAACAG
rnacentral:lncRNA from 1 species